CGGGUGAGUAACGCGUGAGGAACCUGCCUCAAAGAGGGGGACAACAGUUGGAAACGACUGCUAAUACCGCAUAAGCCCACAGCUCGGCAUCGAGCAGAGGGAAAAGGAGCAAUCCGCUUUGAGAUGGCCUCGCGUCCGAUUAGCUGGUUGGUGAGGUAACGGCCCACCAAGGCGACGAUCGGUAGCCGGACUGAGAGGUUGAACGGCCACAUUGGGACUGAGACACGGCCCAGACUCCUACGGGAGGCAGCAGUGGGGAAUAUUGCACAAUGGGGGAAACCCUGAUGCAGCGACGCCGCGUGGAGGAAGAAGGUCUUCGGAUUGUAAACUCCUGUUGUUGAGGAAGAUAAUGACGGUACUCAACAAGGAAGUGACGGCUAACUACGUGCCAGCAGCCGCGGUAAAACGUAGGUCACAAGCGUUGUCCGGAAUUACUGGGUGUAAAGGGAGCGCAGGCGGGAAGGCAAGUUGGAAGUGAAAUCCAUGGGCUCAACCCAUGAACUGCUUUCAAAACUGUUUUUCUUGAGUAGUGCAGAGGUAGGCGGAAUUCCCGGUGUAGCGGUGGAAUGCGUAGAUAUCGGGAGGAACACCAGUGGCGAAGGCGGCCUACUGGGCACCAACUGACGCUGAGGCUCGAAAGUGUGGGUAGCAAACAGGAUUAGAUACCCUGGUAGUCCACACUGUAAACGAUGAUUACUAGGUGUUGGAGGAUUGACCCCUUCAGUGCCGCAGUUAACACAAUAAGUAAUCCACCUGGGGAGUACGACCGCAAGGUUGAAACUCAAAGGAAUUGACGGGGGCCCGCACAAGCAGUGGAGUAUGUGGGUUUAAUUCGACGCAACCCGAA
rnacentral:rRNA from 1 species